UACUUAGGCGGGAAAUUAAGUCAGUAGUGAAAUCCCACAGCUUAACUGUGGAACUGUUAUUGAUACUGGUUUUCUUGAAUAUAGUUGAGGUAGGCGGAAUGUGUAAUGUAGCGGUGAAAUGCUUAGAUAUUACACAGAACACCGAUUGCGAAGGCAGCUUACUAAGCUAUGAUUGACGCUGAGGUACGAAAGCGUGGGGAGCGAACAGGAUUAGAUACCCUGGUAGUCC
rnacentral:rRNA from 1 species